UCCAGACUCCUACUUUAGGCAGCAUUUUUUAAUAUUUUACAAUUUUUGGAACCCUGAUCCAGCUACUCCGCGUGAGUGAAGAAGUAUUUCGUUAUGUAAAGCUCUAUCAGCAGGGAAGAAAGAAAUUACUUUACCUGACUAAGAAGCCCCGGCUAACUACGUGCCAGCAGCCGCGGUAAUACGUAGGGGGCAAGCGUUAUCCGGAUUUACUGGGUGUAAAGGGAGCGUAGACGGCAGUGCAAGUCUGAAGUGAAGGGCGGGGGCAAAAACAAAGGAAUGCUUUGGAAAAUGUGAUGAUGGAGUGAGGGAGAGGAAAGUGGAAUUCCUAGUGUAGCGGUGAAAUGAGUAGAUAUUAGGAGGAAAACCAAUGGAGAAGGAGGCUUGAUGGAAUGUAACUGAAGUUGAGGAUAGAAAGAGUGAGGAGCAAAAAGGAUUAGAUAAAGUAGUA
rnacentral:rRNA from 1 species